UUGCCUGCCCAGUGACUGUAGUUAAACGGCCGCGGUAUCCUGACCGUGCAAAGGUAGCAUAAUCACUUGUUCCUUAAUUAGGGACUUGUAUGAACGGCUAGACGAGGGUCCAACUGUCUCUUAUUUUUAAUCAGUGAAAUUGACCUUCCAGUGAAGAGGCUGGAAUUUCUUAAUAAGACGAGAAGACCCUAUGGAGCUUAAAUUUAAACUUAUUUAUUUUCCUAACCCACCUAAUGGGACAAAAACAAUAUUAUAAGCCUAAAAUUUUGGUUGGGGUGACCUCGGAGAACAGAAAAUCCUCCGAACGAUUAUAACAACAUAGACCGACAAGUCAAAGUAAUCCAUUUUCCAAUUGACCCAAAACUAUUUGAUCAACGGACCAAGUUACCCUAGGGAUAACAGCGCAAUCCUAUUUAAGAGUUCAUAUCGACAAUAGGGUUUACGACCUCGAUGUUGGAUCAGGACAUCCCAAUGGUGCAGAAGCUAUUAAUGGUUCGUUUGUUCAACG
rnacentral:rRNA from 1 species